rnacentral:rRNA from 1 species
GACGAACCGUGCGACCGUUGUUCGGAUUCACUGGGCUUAAAGGGCGCGUAGGCGGACAAUCAAGUCAGGGGUGAAAGCCUCCAGCUCAACUGGAGAAGUGCCUUUGAUACUGACUGUCUCGAGGGAGGUAGGGGCAUGUGGAACUUCCGGUGGAGCGGUGAAAUGCGUAGAUAUCGGAAGGAACGCCGGUGGCGAAAGCGACGUGCUGGACCUCUUCUGACGCUGAGGCGCGAAAGCUAGGGGAGCAAACGGG